rnacentral:rRNA from 1 species
GACGAACGUUGGCGGCGUGCUUAAUACAUGCAAGUCAACUGAAGCAGUGGUAGCAAUAUCGCUGUGGAGGUGGCGCACGGGUGAGUAACACGUAGGUAAUCUGCCUUCAGGUCUGGCAUAACUCCGGGAAACCGGGGCUAAUAGCAGAUGAUGCAGCGGCUCGACAUCGAGACAGUUGUUAAAGCUAUGGCGCCUGAAGAUGAGCCUGCGUCUGAUUAGCUAGUUGGCGGGGUAACGGCCCACCAAGGCAACGAUCAGUAGCUGGUCUGAGAGGAUGAUCAGCCACACUGGAACUGAGACACGAUCCAGACUCCUACGGGAGGCAGCAGUAAGGAAUAUUGCUCAAUGGGAGAAAUCCUGAAGCAGCAACGCCGCGUGAGGGACGAAGGGCUUUUGCUUGUAAACCUCUGUAGUGAGAGAAAAAAAUCCCAAUCUUUGGGACAUGAUGGUAUCUCAAAAGUAAGCCCCGGCUAACUACGUG